UUUUCACCUUCAUUGAUGCAUCAACUUUUGGAAAAAAUAAACAUGCUGUAACUAAAUUUAAUGCUUUUAACCUCCAUCAUUAAUCAUCAUUCCUUUGACACGUCUUUAAUCUAUGUAGUUGCGCAUGAGAUGUGUCUAAGGGGUCUAAGGUGUAUUGAAGUGAAGAAAAACAAGUUAUAUUUUUGGGACACUUAUUUGAGGUGUCGUAUGAGUGUCAAAAUGAUGCAUGUCAGACACAACGAUUAAAUCUAACCUCAAAGAUGUAUGUACUUCAUAGUUCAUAUCCAUGUCUAUUUUGUAAUUUAGACUACUAUGGAAAUGUCGAUUUUUGUUUUUUGUGUGAUUUGUGUCACUUUGUGAUAUGGUUAGGAUUGUUAAGUGAAUGUUUUUUUUCUUCCUACUUUGUGGUUAUUUCGAUGCUUCAUUUGAAACUUAGUUAAAUUUGUUCAUCUUUGAAGGUUGCUAGUGGUUUGGAAGUUGCCACCAAGUGCCAAAUGAAAUGCUAAUAUAUUAUAUGUUGCGUCUGAAGUAGAGUGAGAGUGAAGCAUGUCAGCUGAAAACUCUUCUCCCCAUUUCCUCCAAAUGUACUUUCAUUAGUAAUAACUAGAUAUUAAUCCCCGAGUUGUGCAGUAGAAUUUAAUAUAUUAGUAAGUAUAAAAUAACAAUAAUAUAUAAUUUAAAAAUUAUGUUAAUUUUGUUUUACAGUAAAAUAUAUUCAAGUGUUUAUGUACUUAAAGG
rnacentral:lncRNA from 1 species